GACGAACGCGGGCGGUGUGCUUAACACAUGCAAGUCGAACGGUAAGGCCCUUUCGGGGGUACACGAGUGGCGAACGGGUGAGUAACACGUGAGUAACCUGCCCUCAUCUCUGGGAUAACAGUCGGAAACGGUUGCUAAUACUGGAUAUGAGCUUGCAAGGCAUCUUGUGGGUUGGAAAGAUUUUUUUGGUUGGGGAUGGACUCGCGGCCUAUCAGCUUGUUGGUGAGGUAGUGGCUCACCAAGGCUUCGACGGGUAGCCGGCCUGAGAGGGCGACCGGCCACAUUGGGGACUGAGAUACGGCCCAAACUUCCUACGGGGAGGCAGCAGUGGGGGAAAUAUUUGCACAAAUGGGACGGGAAAGUUCUGAUGCAAGGCAAACGCCCGGCGUGCGGGGAUGGACG
rnacentral:rRNA from 2 species